UCACGAUUGCACCAUGACCUUCCCGCUCCCCCACGUAGGAGCAGAGGCGAGCUGGACACGAGCACCGUCAGACCCUUCCACAGUGAGGAUGAACGGUCGGACUGACCCCCGCAGGCAGGUGGGAAUCAGGGAAGGGCUGUUCUGAAUGACUGGGAAACUGCUGGCCUGUACAGUGGAGUUUUCUCCAGUGAAUGACAAAGAAGCCAUGGGAGAAGCAAGCGGUGAGAGAGACCUUUCCAGACCACCCGAUGUAAAGAAGCAGCCUCUCCUUUAUCAUCGCACACUGUUGUAUUUUUCCGGCACCAUAUUCUACUCUCUGAAGUGGCCUUGUGACUCCUAGUUCCCCGUCCAGCCUCGGUAUAAACUGCUCAUGAGCUGAGAUGGUGUUACUUCCGUUCAGUGCAUGUUCUCCAGGGCCUUGACCUGAGCUCGACGUAACAGAUGCUCUAAAAUGUUCUCAACUACACGAAUGCAUCCCAGCCAAGAGAAACCCCCUAGUGACUGACUCCCCUACAAUAAGACUGCUCAAACUUCGGUCAGUUCCAGCUCUCGGUCCCCGAGCCUCAGGCUGUAGUGGCUGCCCAGGUAAUCUGACUCUGGUGGUGGUUCAGUCGGUUA